rnacentral:rRNA from 1 species
GGAGGGUGCAAGCGUUGUUCGGAAUUACUGGGCGUAAAGGGCGUGUAGGCGGUUAGGCAAGUCAGGUGUGAAAUCCCUUGGGCUCAACCAAGGAAGUGCGCUUGAAACUGCUUAACUAGAGUACAGGAGGGAAGGUGGAAUUCCCAGUGUAGAGGUGAAAUUCAUAGAUAUUGGGAGGAACACCGGUAGCGAAGGCGGCUUUCUGGCCUGAUACUGACGCUGAGACGCGAAAGCGUGGGGAGCAAACAGGAUUAGAUACCCUGGUAGUCCACGCUGUAAACGAUGUGCACUAGGUGUAGGAAGUGUUGACCCUUUCUGUGCCGAAGCUAACGCAUUAAGUGCACCGCCUGGGGAGUACGGUCGCAAGGCUA